UACGUUCCCGGACCUUGUACACACCGCCCGUCAAGCCCAUGGAAGUUGGGAGGACCUGAAGCCAGUUGCUGUAAGGCGCUGUUUAGGGUUAAACCAAUGACUGGGGCU
rnacentral:rRNA from 1 species